rnacentral:rRNA from 1 species
UACGUAGGGCGCAAGCGUUAUCCGGAAUUAUUGGGCGUAAAGAGCUCGUAGGCGGUUUGUCGCGUCUGCCGUGAAAAGUCCGGGGCUCAACUCCGGAUCUGCGGGUGGGUACGGGCAGACUAGAGUGAUGUAGGGGAGACUGGAAUUCCUGGUGUAGCGGUGAAAUGCGCAGAUAUCAGGAGGAACACCGAUGGCGAAGGCAGGUCUCUGGGCAUUAACUGACGCUGAGGAGCGAAAGCAUGGGGGAGCGAACAGG